CCUACGGGCGGCUGCAGUGAGGAAUAUUGGUCAAUGGGCGCGAGCCUGAACCAGCCAAGUAGCGUGAAGGAUGACUGCCCUACGGGUUGUAAACUUCUUUUAUAAAGGAAUAAAGUGAGGCACGUGUGCCUUUUUGUAUGUACUUUAUGAAUAAGGAUCGGCUAACUCCGUGCCAGCAGCCGCGGUAAUACGGAGGAUCCGAGCGUUAUCCGGAUUUAGUGGGUUUAAAGGGAGCGUAGAUGGGUUGUUAAGUCAGUUGUGAAAGUUUGCGGCUCAACCGUAAGAUUGCAAUUGAUACUGGAAGUCGUGAGUACAGUUGAGGUAGGCGGAAUUCGUGGUGUAGCGGUGAAAUGCUUAGAUAUCACGAAGAACUCCGAUUGCGAAGGCAGCUUACUAAACUGCGACUGACAUUGAUGCUCGAAAGUGUGGGUAUCAAACAGGAUUAGAUACCCUUGUAGUC
rnacentral:rRNA from 1 species